AGAAACAACCAGAUGAACAAACUGAAACAGUUAUUGUGAAUCAACCAGUUUCAACAACUGAUGAAAUUAUUGUGGCUCAACUAGAGAAGACCACAGAUAAAAUCUGCCUGGAAACCAUCGCAGUGUGCGAGGAACCUCCCCAAGAGAUCGGAGAGGAAACCACGGCAGUGCGUGAGGAACCUCCCCAAGAG